GCUAACACCGGCUACACAAAAACACAAAAACUAUCAAACAAAACCAAACCAUUUGACACAGUAAGUAAACGAGAUUGAACACUACCCCAGCCCAACUAGUACCACAAGGGAACCUUGAAAGAAUAAUGAAACCCGAAGCACAACAUAGCAAAGAUUAACCCUUGUACCUCUUGCAUCAUGGUCUUGCAAAACCACACCAGACAAAGAGACCUUAAGCCUGCUCUUCCCGAAACCAAGCGAGCUAUUUUUGAGCAGCCUCUCAACAGGGCACACCCAUCUCUGUGGCAAAAGAGUGGAAAGACUUAAAAAUAGAGGUGAAAAGCCAACCGAGCCUGGUAAUAGCUGGCUACUCAAUAAAAGAAUUUUAGUUCAACCCUGAGCCCUAACAACUUAACCUACAUAACAUAUCUCCCACCCAGGGAAAGUCAAUGGGGGUACAGCUCCAUUGACCCGGAAUACAACCCGAACUGAGAACUCACACCUUUUCCACACCACCAGUAGACUUCAAAGCAGCCAUCACUCUAAGUGCGUCACAGCCUCCCCACUAAACUAAUCCCAUAAUUAAAUCCCCAUCUCCAGAAUAAUAUGAGUCAUUUUAUAGCGUUAUAAAAAAACUUAUGCUAGAACUAGUAAUAAGAAAACUUCUCUAUGCACACCCCUGAAUCUGCACAGAAAAACUACUGAUAAUUAACAAACAAACACACACUUCACACCAAAUGUUACUUACUACCUGUCAACCCAACACAGGAGUGCCAAACAGAAAGGUUAAAAAGUAUAAAAGGAACUCGGCAAAUAAAGUCCCAACUGUUUACCAAAAACAUAGCCUUUAGCCAAACAAGUAUUAAAGGUCUUACCUGCCCAGUGAUCUCUUUAAACGGCCGCGGUAUCCUAACCGUGCAAAGGUAGCAUAAUCAUUUGUUCCCUAAAUAGGGACUAGAAUGAACGGUUAAAUGAGGACUAAACUGUCUCUUAUACUAAACCAAUAAACUUGAUCUUUCAGUCCAAAAGCUGAAAUAACACCAUAAGACGAGAAGACCCUGUGGAGCUUUUAGACCGACCUACAAACCUCAUGUAUCUCAAGGUUUUUAGUUGGGGCGACUUUGGAGCACAAAAMCCCUCCAACCACGGAAUCUUACUUCUAGACAUACACGUCAACAAACCCAUCCAGACCCAGUAAACUGAAUAAGUUAUCUGAUCUAUGAACCAAGUUACCCCAGGGAUAACAGCGCUAUCUUCUUCUAGAGUUCUUAUCGACAAGAAGGUUUACGACCUCGAUGUUGGAUCAGGACACCCCUAUGGUGCAACCGCUAUAAAAGGUUCGUUUGUUCAACGAUUAAAGUCCUACGCGAUCUGAGUUCAGACCGGAGCAAUCCAGGUCGGUUUCUAUCUAUGUACAAACCACCCCCAGUACGAAAGGACCGGGUUGGUAGGAUCAAUGUUAACUACACAUCCUUCACAACCUUCUGACUUCCACUAAAGUAGUCUUUACUACCCUAAUCCUAUACCAGGAUU
rnacentral:rRNA from 1 species